AUGUUUUUUCAAGCACCAGAAGUCAGACUGUUCAAUACAGCAUUAUCCCUGUAUCUGUCUCAUCUCAUGUGCUGUAUUAUUAUUCAUAUUAUGAAGCUUUCCCUGCAUCAAGCUGGACUUCACAUUCAUGGUUUUUUUCUUUUUUCUUUCUUUAAAAAAAAAAAACAAAAAAAAUUCGAAUUACUGUUAUCUUGCAGGAUAAACAGGCAUUUCUCAAGACCAAUCCUUCCUUACUCUUGAUAUAUGAAAGAUGAUAAAAUAUGGGGAUUGAUACAUCAAUAUAAUUCAGACAACAAAAGGAAGUCUGCUUACUUGAUUGUACUUCUAAUAAUAUUAUCCUAUUUUCAACAUCUUCUGCUUAUUUCUUAGCCUGAGAGUAAAAGUCCCAGUGCAUAUAAGCGUAAUGUAACCUAGGACCUAAUGACACAAAUGUGUUUAUUUUGAAACUCCAUGACAGGUGUUGGAGAAAAGGCAUACUCCAAUUAGAAUCCAGAACAAAUAUGCCUUUUUCCUUCAUGCAAUGGACAGACUUCAGCAGACCUUCUCCCCAUGACUACUGAAUGAUGCUAUCUUUCUGAACACAAGUGAUGUCACCUGCAAGCCCCUGACCAAGAAUACAUACAGAUUCAUUUUUAACUUUUGCUGUUAAGAGCUGUCCUUUAGUUCUGCCAGUAAGGGCUUGUAGACUUUAGAGAUAAGAGAUGACAGUUCUAAUCCUGUUUUUCUAUAAAUAUAUAGUUUAUGUAACAGUUUUAUCUGCUGUACUGCAAAUAGGGGUACCCUUACACUAUCUCUCCUCAAGUACAUAACUGAAACCUCUUAAGAGGUCAAAUAUGCAAAUAGCACAGCCAAAGUCUUAAACAUACAUCAGAUCACACAACUCCAAAAAGAGGUAGAUACCCCACUGUCAGACUGUGCACCAACUUAUGCAUUUCCACUACUUUGGUGAUGGUGGGUGGGAAAACUACCCAAACUAAAAUCUGGUUGUCCUCUAUAUGUGCCUUGCAGCUCUUGGCAAGAGCACAAUUUUGGAAUGCAGCUUUUAAGUAUAGGAAAUUUUUUCAUCUUUGUUCUAAUUCUUCUGCUACCUUCUUCCCUCCUUACAAAACCAAUGCAUUUCUGCUCCUAAUCCUGCCUAAUACAGACAGAUGAAGUGAGACAUAUCCUUUUGUUGUUUAAAACAAACAUGAGAUUCAGCUAAAAUGUUACAAGUAAUCACAAAAGUACUGAUGAUCUUAAGACAAAUAAGGUAGUUGUGCUGAAGGGCCUAAAGGAGGCAAAACAGAACAACCUGGGUCUGAGAAAACAACAACUAUGAAGAAAUCUUCAAAGAUUUGGAUUUGUUUUCAUCAUAAAAAAGUGUAAGCAGAGAUAUUAGCUUUCUAAUGAAUAAAAGAUUCUCCAUAUAUACUGAGGGAAAUUGA
rnacentral:lncRNA from 1 species